AAACAGGAUCCUCAAGAAGACAACUGGAAGAGAAAGGGCCGGGAAAUUUCCUGUUCGCUUCACUCCCUCACCCACACACCCACACACACCUCACACAUUCAUCCAUCAUGAAGUCCGGAUCGGUAUUGCUCCUCACAUUGGCAACUGCGUGCUUGGUCUUACUAUUACAGAGCAGGGGUACGCAUGCGCGAGCCUUCGAUAUGAACAUGCUUGAUGAGAGGGAAACGGCAGAAGGCGCAUUCCAAAAGAGAGACGCAGCACUCCGAAACACACUUAAAUCCUUAAUUAUGCGCAAAAACACAGAUGACAGGCUUUUUGAGCCAGCUGCAGUAGCACAGAAGCGAGGAGGAUCCAAGUCGAUUGAUUACGCCGAGGACAUGGUCAAGUUCGCCCUCUGGUGCCGGCAGAUGAAUAUAGAAUGCUAGUACAUCCACCUUGCUUUCUGUACAUCCCUUUAUUUUUACAUCGAUCUUCUAAUCGCUCACAGUACGAAGAACCUGGUUUUCUUAAAUUCAACAAACACCAAUCAAGCCACGUCGGACAAAAGGAUCAUCUCAUCACCAUGAAUUUCUUUUCAAUCCCCUGUGUUUAGUUACAAGAAUGGCCCGGAAUUCCACCAUGAACAAUUUUUCAGAAAAUAAUGGAUCAUUGUUGUGGUGACUUCAUUUUGUGAUGACUACAUCUGUGUUACUCGAUUUUAAUUUUACAUUCAGUUUCACUCGGUUUUAUUUGUUACGUUAUAAGUUAUUUCGCUGUAAAAGACCCACGGUAAAAGAAAAAAACGCGUUCGUCUCUUGUGAGUCCGAUGAUGGCGCUAUAUCAGUAAGAAGAAAAGCAGUUCAAAGCUUUCUGUAUCGGAACGAUCUCAAAUCAGAAAUCACGUUUCAAGUGGUUGGAAGGAGUUACCGCUCAUUCUUUUUAAUGACAGUGACAUCUGUUUGAACACGGUCUGUUUUUAGCUGCCUUGUACAUAUUUCAGAUAGAAGUCAAUUGUAACGGAGACCACGUUUGUCCAUUAUUCUUGCCAAUGCAUCAAUUUAAAAUAAUACCAUUCCUUUUUAUCACUAGUAUGCAUGUAAUAUCUACGCAGCCUUGCAGUGUUUUAUUAGAAUUACAAAAUUAAUAUCAACCUAUAUAUAGUUAUAUAUAUAGGUUGAUAUAGAUUAAAUACUCCUUGUUGCAUGCCCCGUCGAGAUGUUUGUAUAUAUCAUUCGGUAUUUUUCCUCUUUUUAAGAAAUGCUCAUUUUGUAGAACAACAAAUUUUGCAAUUGAAAUCAAUGGCGAGUAUAAAAUUAGCUUGCUGUUCAUAUAAAUGUUCUGCAUCAACCUUUCGUUCAGAUUUGUUCAGAAGCUAGAUUAAUGUAAAAGGGUCUUUAAUCAUCAUCAUAAAAAUAAGGAUGAUAAUAUUGUAAUCACUUUGACCAGUCGUUACUAGCAAAGCGUUUUUUCUUAAACAUGUUUAUUCAGUUGCUUUAAUUUCGUGUUUUUUCCUAAACUGCUAGGUAUUAUAAGAACGCAAAUAAACUCUUACACAGUGCCAUGUAUUAUUAUUAUUUGCAAUCGUGCAAUCAUGUUUUUCGUUUAUUACAAAACCUCGCCUAUAUAACCAGCACCUUAUUAACGAUUCUACUGUGAGUCGGUAUCAUGAUACCUAAUCAACAACAGCCAUGUGCUUCAAAGAUUAAUAUGACCCAGGCCAAAACAAUUUGCUUAGUACCUUGUAUCAAUUUACAAAAAAGUGGUUUGCAAAUAUGCACUCUGGAUAGAAUUCACAUUGCCUUAAGAGCUUUUCCAUGUAAUUUUAAAUUGCCAAACAUGGUGGGAAACAUUCAAAGUUAUCAUGCCAUAGUUGCUGAAGAGGUUUUGUCUCAAAAUUCACCAUGAAAAGAUGGGAACAACUAAUCCUUGUCUUUUCAUUAUCUUAGAGGAAAUUAGGAGUCACAUUAGGCAAGUGUUUUAAAUUUAAUAUCAAAAAUACUUAAAGGUAUCACUUCCCUUCAUGUCUCCAUGGAAACAAUGUAAAUUAUAAUUUUCGUCACUUAUUUUAGAGUGUUUUUUCUUUACAAGUAUCAUAAUGUAUCGUCUUCGUUAAAAAGGUAACUUAAUUUGCGAUGCAGUGGAAGGACAUGCGACCAGUUUACACAGUUAAAAAGAUGAAAAUAUCGUGAAAAUAUAUAUUUUCAUCACUGAGCGCUAAUUUCAUUCUUAUUGAAACUCUUAACGAAUAUCCUUAACAAAAACUAAAAACAAUAUCUUUAAGUCUCUCUACUUAUCCCAAAAUGAGAGAGUACAAUUCCGUUUACUAAAUUUACUUUGAAUUGCAAGCGUGUGGUAGGAUGCUCAUUUGUUUACCUAACCAAAAUUCCUUGAUUUUUUAAAAAAAUUAUUAUUGUUAUAUUUCAAUGUUAGACCAAUUAUUACGUUAUAAAGUGAAGAAAAGAGCGUUUUAUGAAUCCUUAACAUAAUUGGGAUAAUUGUGGAAAUUUAAUUUUCACCACAAGGGGGCAGCAAAGUGAAAAUGCACAGUUGGUGUGUUAACGAAAGAGUUUUGACUUUGUGUACAGAUUGCUGUUAUUGUACUGAUUUAUAUCCGACAAGUUGUUUUUCAAAAGAAAGAAAAACACACACUUUCAAUGGCGAUGUUAAAUCUCAUCUAUAAGUACGCAAGUGAUUCAUAAAUUGUAUGAACUUCUGUUAUCGUAGUGUUGUAAAGAUCAAGUGUUAAACGUUUCUUCUGUUUUUCAUGUCCAUUAGUAACAUCUAAUAUUGCAUAUAAGUGUAAGAAAGGAAAUGCCCCUACAUAUUUGCAUGAUAACCAUAUGUCAUGUUUUUCUCAUUUCAGAUCAUAUUUCCUUCUGUUUUUUCCUUAAAGUGCAUAGAAAUAUAAAGUUUUUACAUGGACUGUGCAGGACCUGUAUAUUAUAAUCGGUAUAGUUUCAUGUUUGUAAUAACUUAAUUUUUUCAAUAUAAAUCCUAAGAUGAUUUUUAAAAAUGCAGUGUCCUUUAUAUGACAAAGUCAAAAAUAACUUGAACAAAUAAAUGAAAAAAACUGAGUUUCAUAAAAUAUCAAGUGUUAGUUCCUUAUUUUUGUUUUUGUCCUUGAAAGAAAAUUGAAAGAAGAAAAAAUCCACAAUGUCUAUCCCUGUGCCAUUUCAUUGAUGUAUAGCUUGGGUAAUAUAUCAUUUGUUUGUCAUUGAUAAUUUUUGUGGAGUGGAAAUUGGGAAUCAUGCAAAUAAAAUUUUAUCUUUAACUCGUG